rnacentral:rRNA from 1 species
GACGAACGCUGGCGGCGUGCUUAACACAUGCAAGUCGAACGAUGAACCCGGAGCUUGCUCUGGGGGAUUAGUGGCGAACGGGUGAGUAACACGUGAGUAACCUGCCCUGGACUCUGGGAUAAGCGUUGGAAACGACGUCUAAUACCGGAUAGGACCUUGGAUCGCAUGAUCUGGGGUGGAAAGUUUUUUCGGUCUGGGAUGGACUCGCGGCCUAUCAGCUUGUUGGUGAGGUAAUGGCUCACCAAGGCGUCGACGGGUAGCCGGCCUGAGAGGGUGACCGGCCACACUGGGACUGAGGCACGGCCCAGACUCCUACGGGAGGCAGCAGUGGGGAAUAUUGCACAAUGGGCGAAAGCCUGAUGCAGCAACGCCGCGUGCGGGAUGACGGCCUUCGGGUUGUAAACCGCUUUUAGUAGGGAAGAAGGGCUUCGGCUUGACGGUACCUGCAGAAAAAGGACCGGCUAACUACGUG